UUUUCUGGUUUCCUCUAGAGUAUAAGGCCAACUCAAGAAUUUGAGGGUCAAAACAAGUUCAUCAAAUCUAGAGUACAUUUGACCAUAAUGAUAUGUGAUACUUUUGUUGUUGACAAAGUAAUGGAUGUGGCAUGGCGAGGCUUUACUCUUUGGCGACGGUGUCAGCAAAAGGUUGUUGAAGCUUCUCGAGCUAUUCGGAUAGGACAAUGAUGUUGAGCUUGGAUUUGACUUAGACUGUUCCGUCUGGAUUAUGCGAUUCUGCAGAGAGGGCGUCGUGCUAUAGUGAUCUGUUCCAGCUCAUCGUUGAACCUUCUGCUUCAAUCUUUUGCAUCGCAGAAGUGGUGCACAACCUUUGCAUUUUAAUGGUCCUUCAAAGUACUACUUCUCAUCGACUCAUCCAUGUUUGGCAGCUUCAGUGUAAAGAGCCAAUAUUGUAUCAACUAUUCUGAGGUAUUUGCCAAAAGAAUUCGCGACCUUGACAACAGUUGAGGAUG
rnacentral:lncRNA from 1 species